rnacentral:lncRNA from 1 species
GGCAUUUCCAGCUUUGGCUGGCUCCAAGGCUGUGGAAAAGCAGUGAUUUUGUGGCCACACAGCAGCUAUGAGGAAAGGCGAGAAAAAUCAAAAUGCCAUGGCUCUGAGAUCCCUCAGCAAUGAAACUAAAUCCGUGAACCACCCAAAUCCAGAUUCAAUUCAUUUACCUUAACCACUGCUUUGCAGAUUUCUGUUUCAGCCUAAGGUAAGUUUGAGUUGCUGUACACACACUGACAUGAGACAUUGUUCCUCAUGAUUAUAGCAUCUCCCAAGUGGAAUCCCCACCACCUGGAUGAUGACAUACUUAUCAGCUGAAGACCAUUGUUUCACUUAAGCAUUCUUCAAAAUCUAUAUCUUUAUUCCUGUCCCUGUGUCCAUCUGCAUCUGUAUCUCUACCAUCUAUAUCCUUUCUUUUUCUUUCUCUAUCUCUCUCUGUGUAUAUACUUUUAAACUUAUCAAAUUGUUUUUAAAACUAAUAAGAAACAUUUGAUUUUUAUAGCAUCCUUAUAUUUAUUGUUUAGAGCACACUAGAUAGGUAGGUAAGUAGGUAGGUAGAGAGAGAGAUAGAUAUGGAUAAUGGGAUAAUGUCUUACAUCUUUAUUCCGGUUUGUUUUUUUUCCACAUAAAUUAUCUCAAUCACAAAACAAUUUUGUUUUCCUAAAUUUAAUACAGCUGAUUCUAUUUUAAAGCUAGAAUUAAAUUAUCUUGAAUAUUUUCUAUUUAGAAAGGCUUAAAACUACAAGCUACUUUGGAUUUAAAGUGUUCUGAGAUUUUUGACUGCAAUGAUCUCUUCAUCCAAGUUAAAGUAUUCCUCUUACUAUUGGAGUAUAUAAUUCCGUAACUAGAAGGUAUUUGGAGGAUAAUUAUACCAGCUAAUUAUUUAAUUAAUUUAAGAAUUUAUUCACUUAUACAUAGUAUUAAGUACUCCGUAUUAAUAUUGGACUUUCAGAAAUAAAAACAGACUAUUCCAUCCCAUAGUGAUCUUAACUAUCAGUGAGGAGGCAGCAAGUUUAAAAAAACACAAUAUAUUGCAAUAAUUCUAAUAAAACUUAUUAAUAGUUUUAUAGUCAACAGCUUAUUAUAUUCAUACAGUAUUCAAAUGCUUCUCACGUAUUAUCUCUGUUGACUUUAUGAAACUGUAACUAAUAUUAGCAGCACUUAUUAGAUAAGAAACAUUAUUUAGAGAAAUAAACAAAUGUUCUAGUUGACAUAGAGCUUCUAGGUGACAGAGCACAUUUUGGAAUUUAUGGUCCUGUCUGAAUACAGUGUCAGAGAUGCACAGAGUGACUGCAAACUCUUGUUAAGAGAAAAAAAGUACUAUGGAUUGAGAAUUAAUAUGAGACUGUUGUUUACUUUGCUUUUAUUUUAUUUUAUUUUAUUUUAUUUUAUUUUAUUUUAUUUUAUUUUAUUUUAUUCUUCUUAAAAUUCUACUUUAUUGAAUAGAAAAGAAGAUGUGAAGCCUCUGGAAGGCAUCAGAACACACCUCUCCACAUUCUUUUAGUCAAAUGAAGCAUUUACAGACACCUAGGUUUAUCAAACAACAAAAGCAAACUGGUAGAAUCUUGAUAUUGAAACUGGACAAUACAGCAACAAAAAUAAUAAAUAAUUUGGAUUAAAUGCACUUGAUAUUAUUUCUCCCUUUGCAUUAUUUAUACUUUAUUUAUUUAUUUAUUUAUUUAUUUAACUUUUAAACUGAUACUCUUGUAUAUUAUAUAAAUGGAUUUUAAGAUUUUGAGCCAUCUCUGCAUUGGUGUUUUUUCUAUUUUUUUUUUCACACUGUUGGAUUUGAUUACUAGUUUUUUUUCCAUCUAGGUUCAUAAGUGCACUUAAGACUGUUGUUUACUUUGAAUGACACACUGGAAAGGAAAUGGAGGGAAUGUUCUCCAGCCCGUAUCAAAGCGAACAUCAUCCUCCUGUUUCUUAAUAUCCUUUAAGUGAUAUGGUUUCACUCUGUGUCCCCACCCAGGUCUCACCUUGAAUUGUGAUAAUCCCCAUGUGUCCAGGGGGACUAGGUGGAGAUAACUGAAUCAUGGGGGUGGUUUCCCCCAUGUUGUUCUCAUGAUAGCGAGUGAGUUCUCAUAAGAUCUGAUGGUUUUACAGGGUUUUCUCCUUUGCUGGGUACUCAUUCUGUCCCCUGCUGGCAGGUGAAGAGGUGCUUUCCACCGUGAUUGUCAGUUUCCUGAGGCCUCCCAGCCAUGUGGAACAGUGAGUCAAUCAAACCUGUCUCCAUUAUAAAUUACCCAGUCUCAGGUAUGUUUUUAUUAGCAGUAUGAGAAUGGACCAAUACACUUAGUAUUUACAAGUGAGCAAGUAUUACACUUAGUAAUUACACUUAGUAUUUACAAGUGGGGAUGCUGAUAAGGUACACAUGGCAGGCUUCUCAGUUCUGCUCAGAAAAAGAUUUUGUAAAGAACUUAACUUUGCUUUUUCUCUAAGUGGCUCUACAUGACUUGUAGAUAUCUUUAUAAUUGAAAAGAAACUUUUUCUCUUAUUUUCUUCAUUUUGUGGUGAUAUAGCCACAAGUUUACACCUAUGUAAUCAUGAGUCUAUUGAUUUUUGUCAUCAACCACCUCAGGAAAAGAGUUGAGGGAGCAGGUCAUGAAAAGUGAUGGGGAGGAAGAUCCACCAGGGGUUCCACAUCACACUCUGGUCCCAAGGUUGCUGUGGGUUCUUUAGAGCCGGCUCUGGGGUUUCCAGUCUUUUUUCGUGGACUUGGUCAGCCCUUUCCCUUGAUGAGGAAAAGUGGCAUAGAAUGGUGAAAAUCUCGAUGUUCUCUUUGAUGAUUUUCAUUUCCCUUGCACAAGUUAUCAUUCAAUAUAUGUCUACUAAACAUCUAUCACUUUUAAGGUAUCUUUGAUCUCAUUCACAAACUUAAUUAACUAUCUUUACAUACAUUAAUCUAUAUUUUAAAAAUUCUGUUUCCUUUUAAAGUACUUCAAUUCUCUGAUUUUUAAACAAGUUUUUCCUAGAUACUAAAUAAUUUUUAGAAUUGAAUAAAUUAUUCAUACAGAUGCAGUAAACCUCAGUUCUCUUAGAUGCUGCAACACUCUUUAUAAAUUGAGAACUUUCAUCAUGAUUUCCUAAGUCUAAAUAAAUCAGUUACUCAAUUCAGCUAUUAUAUUAGAGUAACAAUGCUAUUACUUUAAAAGGCCAAAUUAUUUUUGCUUUAUAUAAUUUAGGCAUUUAAACACAUACAUUUAUACAGAUGAAAAGUCUUCCACAUGUUUUUUCUGUUCUCUCACAAUAUUUUGUUAUUAUAAUAUUUUUAAGCUAUAUGAAGAAGUAAAAGACUCAACAACUAUACAUUUUAUAAUUUAAAAUACCUUUAAAUUAUCUUUUCUUUGUUUGAAGUAUCAUUAUGAACUCAAUUCUUUAUGGAUUGGAUAUUUUUCAAUUAACUAAAGUCUUUAUUCAUCUUUGGAUGCUCCAACUGUCAACAGCUCAUUGAAUGGGAUUUCCUUUGCGUGCACUUUUGAUAUGAUUCCAUUAACCUUGGACACAUACUCUGCUUUGUGGCACCAGAGCAUGUUUCAGCUUGGAGAUAUGGAAUUACCACAAACUUGUUCUUAUAUUAUGAUGUGAAAUAUCUUUUUCGGCCGGACAUAGUGGCACACACCUGUAAUCCCAGCACUUUGGGAGGGUGAGGUGGGCCGAUCACUUGCACUCAUGAAUUUGAGACAAGUCUGGACAACAUAGUGAGACCUCGCCUCUACAAAAAAUACAAAAAUUAGCCGGGUGUGGUGGCAUAUACUUAUAGUCCCAGCUACUUGGGAGGCUGAAGUGGGAGGAGAACAAGACACUGUCUCAAAAAAAAAAUUCUUUCACAUUUAAUGUGUUAUACUAUUCAUUAUCAUGUUACAGUAUUUAUAUUGUACCAAUGGUUGCUAUGUAUCACUCCAAAUGGUUCUCUCAGGUGGUCUUGUUUGGAUGCAAUAGCAGUCAAAAUCUUCAGAUUUCCUGAAGGGAAAUUCAGGAGAUGAUCCCUCUCUAGGAAUUUCUCAUGAUUAGCCCAGAACAGUAUAUGCAAAUAUAUGCUGUAGAGGUUUGGUCAAAAAUCUCCUUUUGACUAACGUGACAAAUCCAACUUUACUUCACAGGUCUGUUUUUUAAGCAUUCUCAUUUUAACGACAUGAAUCCCUCUUGUGAAAUCCAAAAUUUUAGAGGCUAUUGGAAAUUAUAAAUCUAUUUCUAUGACAAAUUUUGACUUCCAAAAAC